AUUGAACGCUGGCGGCAGGCCUAACACAUGCAAGUCGAGCGAGCGGCGGACGGGUGAGUAAUGUCUGGGAAACUGCCUGAUGGGGGGGGAUAACUACUGGAGACGGUAGCUCAUACCGCAUACCAUCAGAUGUGCCCAGAUGGGUUUUGCUAGUAGGUGGGGUAACGGCUCACCUCGGCGACGAUCCCUAGCUGGUCUGAGCGGAUGACCAGCCACACUGGAACUGAGACACGGUCCAGAAUCCUACGGGAGGCAGCAGUGGGGAAUAUUGCACAAUGGGCGCAAGCCUGAUGCAGCCAGGCCGCGUGUGUGAAGAAGGCCUUCGGGUUGUAAAGCACUUUCAGCGGGGAGGCGUUACCCGCAGAAGAAGCACCGGCUAACUCCGUGCCAGCCGCCGCGGUAAUAC
rnacentral:rRNA from 1 species